ACACAGCACUCGGGAGAGACCCAGGGACGUUUGCCUGGGCGCCGAAGGGGCAAUUCCUCCCCGGAACCUCUCAGGCCCAUGGACCGGGUGCCGCAG
rnacentral:ncRNA from 2 species